rnacentral:precursor_RNA from 1 species
CAUCGAAUUCCAGGGCCGUGGAGGUUUCCGUGGUCGCGGUCCUGGAAUUCGUUAGC